UUCUGGUUUGACUGAUGGGCUUGGAUUC
rnacentral:piRNA from 1 species